UACGGAGGGUGCAAGCGUUGCUCGAAAUCACUGGGCGUAAAGCGCACGCAGGCUGAAUGCUAAGUCGGGUGUGAAAUCCCGGGGCUCAACCCCGGAAUUGCAUUCGAAACUGACAUUCUUGAGUGCGGGAGAGGGAAGCGGAAUUCCUGGUGUAGAGGUGAAAUUCGUAGAUAUCAGGAGGAACACCGGUGGCGAAAGCGGCUUCCUGGCCCGAUACUGACGCUCAUGUGCGAAAGCGUGGGGAGCAAACAGG
rnacentral:rRNA from 1 species